AUCACAGAGAGGGCACAUGAGGUGAGAGGCCACCCACCCAUCACAGAGAGGGCACAUGAGGUGAGAGAGACCACCCACCCAUCACAGAGAGGGCACAUGAGGUGAGAGGCCACCCACCCAUCACAGAGAGGGCACAUGAGGUGAGAGGCCACCCACCCAUCACAGAGAGGGCACAUGAGGUAAGAGGCCACCCACCCAUCACAGAGAGGGCACAUGAGGUGAGAGGGACCACCCACCCAUCACAGAGAGGGCACAUGAGGUGAGAGACCACCCACCCACCACAGAGAGGGAACAUGAGGUGAGAGGGACCACCCACCACAGAGAGGGAACAUGAGGUGAAAGACCACUCACCCACCACAGAGAGGAAACAUGAGGUGAGAGGGACCACCCACCCAUCACAGAGAGGAAACAUGAGGUGAGAGGGACCACCCACCCAUCACAGAGAGGAAACAUGAGGUGAGAGGGACCACCCACCCAUCACAGAGAGGAAACAUGAGGUGAGAGGCCACCCACCCAUCACAGAGAGGGCACAUGAGGUGAGAGGCCACCCACCCAUCACAGAGAGGGCACAUGAGGUGAGAGGCCACCCACCCAUCACAGAGAGGGCACAUGAGGUGAGAGGCCACCCACCCACCACAGAGAGGGAACAUGAAGUGAGAGACCACCCACCCAUCACAGAGAGGGCACAUGAGGUGAGAGACCACCCACCCACCACAGAGAGGGAACAUGAGGUGAGAGACCACCCACCCACCAGAGAGGGCACGUAAGGUGAGAGGGAACAUCCACCACAGAGAGGAAGGAACAUGGAGGCUUCUGGUCCCAGAUAAGAGACAACCCCAGGAGGUAGGAUAAACAUAGGAGACACCUUCGGAACACUCUCCUGGGGCCUUCUCAGCCACAGCCAGGUUAUAUAUUGAGACUUGGCAUGUUACUCCGCAGGGGUCAAUCACUCCUUCUCUAUCCAAAUCCCAGGCCCACAGAAACACAGUAUAGAAGGACAGUUGCCACACACUAAAAUCUGGGAUGCAGGCAACAGAGCAGUUCAGAAGGCCAAUUAACUUUCUACCUUUGUGGAUGCUCCAGAGACCUGGGAGGCCAAGGGUUAUGGAAGUUACACCUGUUCAUCAGAUCAAACUGUAGAACUCUCAGCUCCUCUAGUACCUGCCUGCCUUCACUCUGCCGUGUUUCCCACCAUGACGAUAAUGGACUGAACUUCUGAAACUGAAAGCCAGCCCUGAAUAAAUGUUUUCUUUUGUAA